GCAAGUCGAACGAAAAUCAAUAGCUUGCUCUUUAGAUUUAGUGGCAAACGGGUGAGUAAUAUAAAGGAAUCUACCUAGCAGUACGGAAUAACUUUGGGAAACCAACGCUAAUACCGUAUAUUACCAUUUAUGGGAAAGAUGUAUCGCUGUUAGAUGAGCCUUUAUCAGAUUAGUUUGUUGGUGGGGUAAUGGCCUACCAAGGCGAUGAUCUGUAGCUGGUCUGAGAGGAUGAUC
rnacentral:rRNA from 1 species